rnacentral:ncRNA from 2 species
CAUAAAAAUUAAUUUUAAGGUCCAGAGGUACUUUUCUCUGUUUAAAAGGGAAUCUAGUAAGCUAACUUUAGAGCUUUCCUUGCAACUGUGCUUGGUGCGCGUUCUUUUUGAUAUAUUAUGGGGAAAUUUCCCUGAGAAGACAGAAAAGAGCAUCGGAAUCCAAAAGUCAGGAGACCUGCCUAAUAAUUAUGAAUGAA